GACCGAAGCAAAGAAACCUAUAAGUUAUAUAGCAAGCAGGUGGUGUUUGUGAAAGUAUAACCACCAUCCUUUGGUCCACGUUGUACAGAUGAUCCAUAAAUCGAAUAAUUUGAGUUGUACAGCGCUCAGCACUUGUCAGUUUUCUAAACUCAGUAGAGUUGCAAAGGCCAUUCUUUACUGCUAAACUGAUAACUUAUAGCUUUAAAUCCAAAAAGUAGUUUCUAUUGCAUGUUCAUUAUUCAAUUAAUUUGCUAGUAAAUUUGCUGUAAUUUUAUAGCGGUGAUCCAUGAUCGUAGGUCUUGCCUUGCUGUCAUUUAACCGAUAAAGCUCUUAGAAGAAAACUGAAUUCGAAAGGGGUAAUUGAUUGAAUUGAAAUGCUGAGAAUUACAGAAUUUAGAAAUGAAUACAAGACUCCACUCUCUCUCAAUAUUUGCCUCCUCUUUCUAUUUAUAAUACCUGUUCUAACCAACUCUGCCUAGUCACCUCCACUAUAACAACUUCUGUUAUUUUUCCCUCCAACAGCUCCUACUUCUGAAUUCUUCUAGAAUAAGUCAAUCGUAUAGGAGGCCCAUCAUUAACAUAGAAUUUCCGUAAAUAGAGAAGAUGGCUGUGCAAAUGAAAGGAUCCGUUAGCCAGAUAUCUAAGCAUCAUCAGAGUAGAACAAUACUCUUGACUUGCCCCCCAGGGCACUUCCAAGUUGGCAGAAUAAUCACAUUGGGGGGCUCUGAAACCAAGCGUGGGGAGUUCGAUUCCUGGUGGGAACCUUUGAUCCAAUAAAGGAGGAAUUAUUGGUGGAUUAAUCACCAUGGAGGAGGCUCUCUUUGGGGAAGGAGUAAAAGCCAUGUGGGAACCUGGGAACCAACAAGGGCACAUCCUGCGAUUUACCUCCCUGAGCAGCUGAGGGGUCGGAGGUUCAGGGACGAGGAUAUAGUCUGGCGCAAGCUGGGACACCUCGUUAAAAAAAAAAAAAAAAAAAAAAUACUCUUGACUCAAUUUGAUGUGAUAUGACGUGGCCCUGUGACAUAUGAAAGUGAGCUAACAUUUCACCAUUCCAAUAGGUGGAAGAGAGAUUGAACAGGGUACAAGUAUGUACUAGAUUUAAGCUUCUGUUAAAUCUAUU
rnacentral:lncRNA from 1 species